rnacentral:rRNA from 1 species
GACGAACGCUGGCGGCGUGCCUAAUACAUGCAAGUCGAACGCAGUUGCGAACGGGUGAGUAACGCGUAGGUCACUGCCUGGUAGCGGGGGAUAACUAUUGGAAACGAUAGCUAAUACCGCAUCCUACCAGAUGGACCUGCGUUGUAUUAGCUAGUUGGUGAGGUAACGGCUCACCAAGGCAACGAUACAUAGCCGGACUGAGAGGGUGGUCGGCCAAACCGGGAACGAGAAAAGGCCCAGACUCCUACGGGAGGCAGGAGUAGGGAAUCUUCGGAAAUGGGGGGAACCCUGACCGAGCAACGGCGAGGGAGUGAAGAAGGGGUUCGGAUCGGAAAGAUCCGUUGUUAAGGAGGCGGUACUUAACCAGAAAGGGACGGCUAACUACGUGCCAGCAGCCGCGGUAAUAC